rnacentral:rRNA from 1 species
GGCCUUUUGUUAAAAAUUUAAGGUCUUGCCUGCCCACUGAGUAUUUGAAUGGCCGCGGUAUAUUGACCGUGCUAAGGUAGCAUAAUCAUUAGUUUUUUAAUUGGAAGCUGGAAUGAAGGGUUGGAUGAAAAAAUUACUGUCUUAAAUUUAAUUUAUUAGAAUUUUAUUUUUAAGUUAAAAAGCUUAAAUAAAUUUAAAAGACGAGAAGACCCUAUAGAGUUUAAUAGUUUUUAUGUUAAUUAAUUAAGAAUUAAAAUUUUUUAUUAAAAAAAAUUAUUUGAUUGGGGUGAUUUAAAAAUUUAAUUAACUUUUUAUUUAUUUUUAUAUUAAUUUAUAGUUUAUUUGAUCCUAUUUUUAAGAUUAUAAGAAAAAAUUACCUUAGGGAUAACAGCGUAAUUUUAUUAGAGAGUUCAAAUCGAUAAUAAAGAUUGCGA